UCGCACGCGACGAUUUCUUCUGGUCUCAGUUUACUGUCGUCUCAGUCUUCUGGAAUCAGUCUUAGGUUACUAUAGCCAUGAAGAAUAGAAGUUGAUUAAAUGGCACCCGUAGCUGUUCCAGUGACUCAGUUGUGGCCUGGCUUCCACAUUAAACACGACCCGGACGUGAUGUUCGUGCUCUUCAGGAGACGAGCUGGCCACAAGCAAGUCGUCAAUGUAUGCGAAGACGAAGGGGAGGCCCCUGAUGACGCUGUCUAUAAGACGUUGAAACGUUUCGGCCGCGUUGCGGAGACCAAAUGGCAUCCGCGGAAAUUCGUACAGCCCACAUGGAGCAUUCGCCACUCCUCAAUGAGUGGGUUUUCAGAUUCUGCAGUAUCCCGGACCCAAGGAAAGCGGAGAAGGUUUCUGUCCGCACGACGGAUGACCACUUGCAGGUAGGAAUUCAGAGAUGGCUGCUCCGGGAGACGGGAUGACUCGUCGCAAACCGCGCGGAGCUUGGUUGUAACGGCUUCUUUCCGAAUAACGGCGUGGUGGGGCAUAUAGUAGACAUGCUAGUGUUCAUCGACGUUGUUCACCACCCUCUGAGUAAAUACUGAAAAAUACUCGUAAAUACUGCGUA